rnacentral:rRNA from 1 species
UAUGGGCGAGAGCCUGAACCAGCCNAGUAGCGUGAAGGAUGAAGGCUCUAUGGGUCGUAAACUUCUUUUAUAUGGGAAUAAAGUUUUCCACGUGUGGAAUUUUGUAUGUACCAUAUGAAUAAGGAUCGGCUAACUCCGUGCCAGCAGCCGCGGUAAUACGGAGGAUCCGAGCGUUAUCCGGAUUUAUUGGGUUUAAAGGGAGCGUAGGUGGAUUGUUAAGUCAGUUGUGAAAGUUUGCGGCUCAACCGUAAAAUUGCAGUUGAAACUGGCAGUCUUGAGUACAGUAGAGGUGGGCGGAAUUCGUGGUGUAGCGGUGAAAUGCUUAGAUAUCACGAAGAACUCCGAUUGCGAAGGCAGCUCACUAGACUGUUACUGACACUGAUGCUCGAAAGUGUGGGUAUCAAACAGGAUUAGAUACCCUGGUAGUCCAAGGGCGAAUUC